rnacentral:rRNA from 1 species
GACAGAGGUGCCAAGCGUUAGGCGGAAUCACUGGGCUUAAAGCGUGUGUAGGUGGAACGUUAAGUGCCUUGUGAAAUCCCGCGGCUCAACCGCGGAACUGCUGGGCAUACUGGCGUUCUUGGGCCAAUCAGGGGUCGUCGGAACAAACGGUGGAGCGGUGAAAUGCGUAGAUAUCGUUUGAAACGCCGAAGGCGAAAGCAGACGACUGGGAUUGCGCCGACACUGAGACACGAAGGCCAGGGGAGCGAACGGG